ensembl:snRNA U6 U6 spliceosomal RNA
UUGCUUGCUUUGGCAGCACAUACACAAAAAAUGGACUGAUACGGAGAAGAUCAGCAUGGUCUCUGAGCAAAACUGACAGGCAAACUCGUGAAGGGAUCCACAUUUUA